AUUCUUUACUCCAGGUAAUUUUAGUUUCCCUUCUACCAGCAGCAUAUGGUGGGAGGAGAAGUAGGUAGAAUUCCCUAGGAGCAAUGAGUUGGUGACCAACACUAGCGAGUUUGACAGAGGCAGUCAGAGCUAACAAUAAGCUCCACUACAGAAGACACAAACUAUGCCCUAGAAUAUUUCAAAUAUACUCUGAAACGAGGGGAGAAGCAGCAGCUCUGCAACUACUAGCCUAGUACCAGUACAGACGGAUGGCAGAACACACCACCCAUCACCUCGGUCUCUCAACACCUUCACCGCCUGCAAUAACAGAGCAGAGCUCUGCCCUUCCACCAGGACCUCACUUACUGGUUCAUGCAGCUUCCAGGUCAUCUCCUCUGACAGGAAGGCCACAUGAUGACUACUUUAAUUCUUUGGGCUUUCCCUAGCAGCAGCAUAAAACAUAAAUGAAGGUGACAAAAAAUUGGUUGGUUUUGCUUAUCCACUCAACGUACUGGAAAGCAAAAGCGACCAAUCUUAGAUUUUCUCACUCUCAAAAACCCACCCAAAAUAGCAGGAGAAAAACUGAGCAGUGUGAAGAAUCGUUAGCUCCAUCUACAAUGAACUCUUUAUAUAAGAAACACUUCAGUUCUACAGGCAGUUAGUUCUGUAGCAAAAUGAUUACAUAUACCUCUCAGUCACUACAACUGUCUAAGUGGCAAGUGGAUUUUUCAAGCCAAGCCAAUGAGUUCUGCAUUUACAAUCACAACGCUACCUUUACAAGAUAAAUUUGAUUAUUGUUCUACUUUGAAAAUCCUUAACAUAAGUGAUAUGCUCACCUAUACUAAUACAACUUUAUUCCUGAACCUCCGAACUAGAAAUAAAGCCAAAUAUAUUGGGCACUAUAGUCUCUUGGUGGGGCAACUGACCCCGGUACAUCAGAGAUCUGAUGUGAAAUAAAAACCCGACUUGCUCGCUUGCUUGAAGUAAGAAUAGUCGAACUGAGCAUACAGAUGGGCUCCCAGAAACCCAACCUCCAUUCUACCAUACCCGAAACUUUUUACUUGGGCACAUCUAGGAAAGCUUUAAAGAAAACUUCAAAGAUAAUUAAUUAAGAUUUUCACUUGUACCACUAUAUUUGGUGCACUGCAACAACUCGUAAAGCAAAGUUGCGGGCUCUACUUCUCAUCAUCCCAAAACUAGCUACAAAAUUUUGGAGCAAAAGAGUACAAAAGCGCAUCACGCAGUAACGGAUAGCUAACAAGUGAGGCCCAUCUACUGGACUCAAACUAGCAGUCAAUGGCUGCACUGCACCACGAAGCCGGUAAGAAUCAAAAGUUUGAAGCUCACGGACGUGACAGGACUCGGGACUGCAAGGAGCCCAGCAGCAGGGAAGCAGUUUUGCAUCAGUCGGGAAAAAGAAAUCAGAUUACCAUCCUGCAGCAGAAUUCUCUACAAGCAAGAGCCCUGCAUCUGUAUAGAUCCACCAGGAUUUAUGUGCAAUUCGUGACAGGACUUGAGGUCAACACAGACAUCACCCAUUACUGCAUUCUUUUCUCUAAGAUUCUAGCACUAAUAUCACCAUUAAAUAAUCUUACUCUUACUCUAGUAUAAGAGACGUUUUUCCAGAAGAAUGCAAUAUUUAAAAUUUCAGAGAACCACUGAAAUAAAGACAUGAAUGCAUUUGAGAAGAUUUACGUUGGAAAGUAAUGUGAAAAUGAAAAGCAAGAAAGUGCACGCAGCAGACAGAGAAAGGGACCAGAUUGCAGAAGAAUAUGUAUCGGAGAGUAGGCAGAGAGAGAAAAAGUAAAAUGUGUCAGCUGGAAAUAUUAAAUAAGCAAUAGCAAAGCAGCUGCUAUCAAAAAUAACCUGUACUGUGACCAAAGUCAGUUAAAUAUGAUUAAAUGUGGAUAA